rnacentral:rRNA from 1 species
GGCGAACGGGUGAGUAUCACGUGAGUAACCUUCCCUUGACUCUGGGAUAAGCCCGGGAAACUGGGUCUAAUACCGGAUACGACCAGUCCUCGCAUGGGGUGCUGGUGGAAAGAUUUAUCGGUCUUGGAUGGACUCGCGGCCUAUCAGCUUGUUGGUGAGGUAAUGGCUCACCAAGGCGAUGACGGGUAGCCGGCCUGAGAGGGUGACCGGCCACACUGGGACUGAGACACGGCCCAGACUCCUACGGGAGGCAGCAGUGGGGAAUAUUGCACAAUGGGCGAAAGCCUGAUGCAGCGACGCCGCGUGCGGGAUGACGGCCUUCGGGUUGUAAACCGCUUUCAGCAGGGAAGAAGCGAGAGUGACGGUACCUGCAGAAGAAGCGCCGGCUAACUACGUGCCAGCAGCCGCGGUAAUACGUAGGGCGCGAGCGUUAUCCGGAAUUAUUGGGCGUAAAGAGCUCGUAGGCGGUUUGUCACGUCUGCUGUGAAAGCCCGAGGCUCAACCUCGGGUGUGCAGUGGGUACGGGCAGACUAGAGUGCAGUAGGGGAGACUGGAAUUCCUGGUGUAGCGGUGAAAUGCGCAGAUAUCAGGAGGAACACCGAUGGCGAAGGCAGGUCUCUGGGCUGUUACUGACGCUGAGGAGCGAAAGCAUGGGGAGCGAACAGGAUUAGAUACCCUGGUAGUCCAUGCCGUAAACGUUGGGCACUAGGUGUGGGGGACAUUCCACGUUUU